rnacentral:rRNA from 1 species
CCAGACUCCUACGGGAGGCAGCAGUGAGGAAUAUUGGUCAAUGGCCGAGAGGCUGAACCAGCCAAGUCGCGUGAGGGAAGACGGCCCUACGGGUUGUAAACCUCUUUUGUCGGGGAGCAAAGCGAACCACGUGUGGUUCAUUGAGAGUACCCGAAGAAAAAGCAUCGGCUAACUCCGUGCCAGCAGCCGCGGUAAUACGGAGGAUGCGAGCGUUAUCCGGAUUUAUUGGGUUUAAAGGGUGCGCAGGCGGAGGUGCAAGUCAGCGGUCAAAUUGCGGGGCUCAACGCCGUAGAGCCGUUGAAACUGGGGCUCUUGAGUGAGCGAGAAGUACGCGGAAUGCGUGGUGUAGCGGUGAAAUGCAUAGAUAUCACGCAGAACUCCGAUUGCGAAGGCAGCGUACCGGCGCCCAACUGACGCUGAAGCACGAAGGCGUGGGUAUCGAACAGGAUUAGAUACCCGAGUA